GCUAAGUCUGGCAACGCUGGCAAUAAGCGAAAUAAGCACGUAACGCGCCGCCUGCCAUCUUUCGGGAUAAAACACGGAACAGUGCAAAAGCAAAAAGCAAAGAGCAAGCCAAAAGCAAAGCGGAUCAGGAGACACACAAGCUGCCAACUGUCGAAGCGCAAAGGAGGCAAACUGAAACAAUACGCGCCAAGUAGCGGCAGUGACAGUGGCGGGGGGGCAACAGGGGCAGCGGUGGCAUCGGCGUCAUCAUUUAUCAAGCGCGCGCUCACACACAAAGGUCAAGUAAAGUGUUAUCCUUGAAGCUAUCAAGGCAAACAUGGCCCAGCAAAACAGCUGGCAGCUGUUCCUUUGACGCCAGUCGCCGUCUUUUCAUAUUUCCAGGCUGGGCCCAGGCCUUGAGCAUACACACACUCACAUACAUAUGUACACAUGUACUUACACAUACAUAUGUACAUAUACCCACAUGGACGCAGUUUGACGUUUUGUGAAAAUCAUUAACGAAAUGAAAAUAUCAAUGAUGUGAAAAUGUUAUGGUCUGCCGCCACCAUACCGUAAAUCGGCCACCGCCUUUGAAACGCGAUAAUCAUCGGCAGCGUCGAUGUCAGCAACUUAAACAUCAUUAAUAAAAGCCUCCACAUCAAAGCCAUUUGAGUUCCGACUCACGUUAUUGCUUACUGCUCGUAGCUGUAGCUUAACAGUGGAGAGUUUAACCGCCAUGUAUGUAUGUAUUCACGUUCUCGGCUUGCCAACUUUCAUUUCAUUCUCAGCAAAGCCGAAUCUCAGCAUUUUAAUUGCAUUCCACUUGUUUCCCUAGUCAAUUUUAUCUUAUAUACCCCCUUCCAACUAAAACGGUACAAGACAUACCCUUAGUUGGGUAUAACAGACGGAGAACAUUCGAGCUUACUCUCUGUAAAUAUGCUCAAAACAUUUAACAUACGCUUUAAAAAUGUCUCCAAAUCUGAAGUUGAAAAUGGGAAUCAUUAUACCCGAUGAGUACCGAAUAGGCGAAUGCUAAUAACAGAAGAAACUGAAGUUAGGCGAGUGAUAGAGCAGGACAGGCUGAUCUACUUUAAGAUGACAGUUACGUACGAGCGCAGCAAAAGUGCAGAGCAAAGAAGUAAAGCAGAAGUGACAACUUGAUACACACAUAAAACACAUAUACAUGCAUAUGUACAUACAUAUGCUAGAGAAACUUUCCAAUAAUAGCUUAUCAAUGGGCCUUAAGCAUUUAAUGCACAAAACAAAAUACGCAAAUUUCUAACUUAUUUUUACGCACACAGAUUUUUUAUUUAUUAGGAUGUAAAUUAAUUAUGUACGAUAAAUAGAAUAGUAAAACAAUGUACAUAUGUACGUAAAAAA